GAUGAAGAACGCAGCGAAAUGCGAUACGUAAUGUGAAUUGCAGAAUUCAGUGAAUCAUCGAGUCUUUGAACGCACAUUGCGCCCCCUGGUAUUCCGGGGGGCAUGCCUGUCCGAGCGUCAUUGCUGCCCUCAAGCACGGCUUGUGUGUUGGGCCCCCGCCCCCCGGUUCCCGGGGGGCGGGCCCGAAAGGCAGCGGCGGCACCGCGUCCGGUCCUCGAGCGUAUGGGGCUUCGUCACCCGCUCCGUAGGCCCGGCCGGCGCCCGCCGGCGACCCCCCCCCAAUCUUUCCAGGUUGACCUCGGAUCAGGUAGGGAUACCCGCUGAACUUAAGCAUAUCAAUAAGCGGAGGA
rnacentral:misc_RNA from 1 species